rnacentral:rRNA from 1 species
GUGGGGAAUAUUGCGCAAUGGGGGAAACCCUGACGCAGCAACGCCGCGUGAGUGAUGAAGGCCUUCGGGUCGUAAAGCUCUGUCGCAGGGGACGAAAGCGUUUAUCCAAAUAGGGUGAACGUAUGACGGUACUCUGCAAGAAAGCCCCGGCCAACUCCGUGCCAGCAGCCGCGGUAAGACGGAGGGGGCGAGCGUUGUUCGGAAUUACUGGGCGUAAAGGGCGCGCAGGCGGUCAUGCAAGUCGGUGGUGAAAGCCCACGGCUCAACCGUGGAAUUGCCUUCGAUACUACAUGACUUGAGUACGGAAGAGGAGAGCGGAAUUCCCAGUGUAGCGGUGAAAUGCGUAGAUAUUGGGAGGAACACCGGUGGCGAAGGCGGCUCUCUGGUCCGAUACUGACGCUGAGGCGCGAAAGCCAGGGGAGCGAACGGGAUUAGAAACCCUAGUAGUCC